rnacentral:rRNA from 1 species
UACGAAGGGGGCUGGCGUUGUUCGGAUUUACUGGGCGUAAAGCGCGCGCAGGCGGCUUUGCAAGUCAGGGGUGAAAUCCCAGCGCUCAACUCUGGAAUUGCCUUUGAGACUGUGAGGCUUCGAGUACGGGAGAGGUGAGUGGAAUUCCCAGUGUAGAGGUGAAAUGCGUAGAUAUGGGGAAGAACACCGGUGGCGAAGGCGGCUCACUGGCCCGGUACUGACGCUCAGGCGCGACAGCGUGGGGAUCAAACAGG